GACGAACGCUGGCGGCGUGCUUAACACAUGCAAGUCGAACGAAGAGCGACGGAAGCUUGCUUCUAUCAAUCUUAGUGGCGAACGGGUGAGUAACGCGUAAUCAACCUGCCCUUCAGAGGGGGACAACAGUUGGAAACGACUGCUAAUACCGCAUACGAUCUAAUCUCGGCAUCGAGGAUGGAUGAAAGGUGGCCUCUACAUGUAAGCUAUCACUGAAGGAGGGGAUUGCGGCUGAUUAGCUAGUUGGAGGGGUAACGGCCCACCAAGGCGAUGAUCAGUAGCCGGUCUGAGAGGAUGAACGGCCACAUUGGGACUGAGACACGGCCCAGACUCCUACGGGAGGCAGCAGUGGGGAAUCUUCCGCAAUGGACGAAAGUCUGACGGAGCAACGCCGCGGGAGGGAGGACGGCCUUCGGGUUGUAAAGCUCUGUUAAUCGGGACGAAAGGCCUUCUUGCGAAUAGUGAGAAGGAUUGACGGUACCGGAAUAGAAAGCCACGGCUAACUACGUG
rnacentral:rRNA from 1 species